rnacentral:rRNA from 1 species
CAGCCGCCGCGGGAAUACGUAGGUGGCAAGCGUUGUCCGGAAUUAUUGGGCGUAAAGGGCUCGCAGGCGGUUUCUUAAGUCUGAUGUAAAGCCCCCGGCUCAACCGGGGAGGGUCAUUGGAAACUGGGAAACUUGAGUGCAGAAGAGGAGAGUGGAAUUCCACGUGUAGCGGUGAAAUGCGUAGAGAUGUGGAGGAACACCAGUGGCGAAGGCGACUCUCUGGUCUGUAACUGACGCUGAGGAGCGAAAGCGUGGGGAGCGAACAGGAUUAGAUACCCCCGUAGUCCCUGUCUCUUAUACA